rnacentral:misc_RNA from 1 species
UUUCCGUAGGUGAACCUGCGGGAGGAUCAUUACUGAGUGAGGGCCCCUCGGGGUCCAACCUCCCACCCGUGUUUAACGAACCUUGUUGCUUCGGCGGGCCCGCCUCACGGCCGCCGGGGGGCAUCUGCCCCCGGGCCCGCGCCCGCCGAAGCCACCUGGGAACGCUGUCUGAAGUAUGCAGUCUGAGACAAUUAUUAAAUUAAUUAAAACUUUCAACAACGGAUCUCUUGGUUCCG